rnacentral:rRNA from 1 species
GAUGAACGCUGGCGGCGUGCCUAAUACAUGCAAGUCGAACGAACUAAUUUAUUAGUGAGUGGCGAACGGGUGAGUAAUACAUAAGUAACCUGCCCUAGACAGGGGGAUAACUACUGGAAACGGUAGCUAAAACCGCAUAGGUAUGGGAAUCGCAUGAUUGCCAUAUUAAAAGUGCUAAGGCACUGGUAGAGGAUGGACUUAUGGCGCAUUAGCUAGUUGGUAGGGUAAAGGCUUACCAAGGCGACGAUGCGUAGCCGACCUGAGAGGGUGACCGGCCACACUGGGACUGAGACACGGCCCAGACUCCUACGGGAGGCAGCAGUAGGGAAUUUUCGGCAAUGGGGGGAACCCUGACCGAGCAACGCCGCGUGAAGGAAGAAGGUUUUCGGAUUGUAAACUUCUGUUAUAAAGGAAGAACGGUACAUGGAGGGAAUGCCAUGUAAGUGACGGUACUUUAUGAGAAAGCCACGGCUAACUACGUGCCAGCAGCCGCCGCCGUAACAC